GUUGAGCAAUCAUUUGUGGCCAUGUCGUUUCUGAAAAAGAGCUAUAUAGCUCAGUGGGCCUUACCUUGUUAAAUACAAUUUUUUGAAAUCGUUUUUGUUUAGUGUAUGUAUGUUGAACCGUUCACACCAUGUCUUGCCGAUGGGGUUUUGUUUCUUGUGUUAAGCGACGCAGAGAUGGUCACGUUUACAGGAUAUGGUAUUUAUUCGUGACAAUACAUUGGUAACAUUGUGACCAAUUAGAGACCCUCACGGGUGGCUUAAGGAGUUUCACGACUGAAUUUAACCGCAGCAUGCGACGGCGUUUUCUCUCAAGCUGCUUUGAGCUUCUCCAGGUAUGCAUGCGGAUAUCGAGUGGGUGUGGUGUGCACGUGUAUACUACUCCUAGGUGGACAGAGGCGGAGGGAUUUAAGAAACGUCGACAAGACUGGUGACAAAGGAUGGAACGUGUUCAAGAAGAUGACCACCACAGAAAUGAGGUGAUGAAACUAGCCCAUGUGCAGUGGUGAGAUGGGUCAUGGCAGCACAGGAGGGCAUAGUGGACUACAUGGGGGAAGCCUUCAUACAGUAGUGGAUAGAUCACGGCUGUUGAUGUUGACGAAAAAUUAGGUAUUGUGUGCGCAGAAGAGCGGUAGAAGGACAUGAAAAAGAACCGAUCAAAUCUCUCCUCCCUCCAUGAUCACGUGAAAUGCGCAUUAUGCUCCACGUAGUCACGUUUAGGUGCUUUAUAAACAUUUAGCUGCUUUAUAAACAUACAUUGAUUGUUGUAUUGCUGUUUAAGCAAUUACGCACCAUGCCCCUGGCUAAAUUUCUAACUCAAUAUGUUGUGGAACGCUCCUGGGCUGGCUGGGAGUAGACAUUGUCAGCAUAAGGCACUCCCACUAGAGUACAAGGUAAGCCUUAUCCAUACUAUACUUACAUUAUUUUGUACCCUAUACUCCUACAAUGCUAUAAAAAAAUGUUUAUCAAUGUUACAUGCUAAAUAAAGCGAGAGAGAGAGAGAGAGAUGUGGCAUGCUAAAAUAUUUUCCUGCAAUGGCCUUCUGGACUAUUCCGGCUGAAACUAAGCAACGAAGCAACCUCAUCUACCAAAUCAAACCCAAAGGCCCGCAAGCGAGCUGUCGUCUCCAAAACAUUGCCCUCAGCUGUCUCCACCAUUGUCAUCCCCCUGAUGCGCACGAAAACAAUGUCCCGGUGGUCAACCUAACCCCGGGCGCACACACAACGCAACAAUGCUGACGUUCGAUGUCGCAGAGCGAAUCCAUUUAGAACCGAGUUUGUUUGUUUUGCAAGGUGCGAGGCGUCUUUACACUCGGCGAGCAAAAUAUUUAUUGAUGCCAUCCGGUACCGAUUGUACCUGUUGUAGUUUAUUUUUUUAUUUACCCACCCCCCACACACCGUUUGCCUGUGAGAGUCAACAGAGGUGGGUUGGGGGGGGGGUUGCCCGUGAGUGCGUUGCGGAGGCCGCGCGAGUGGAACGCAACGCUGGGAAGCAGGCACCAGUUUUAUGUCGGAGCAACGGAGAAUGUUGUUUUGAUUCUGACGUCGCGCGCGUGUGUGUAGUGUGCGGUGUGUGCGCGUGUCAGCGAGUGACGGAGGAGACUUAUUACAUAUUUUUUUGCACUUGCCAUUUUUGCGCUUUUAGUAUCAGGUCGGGUAACACAAAAAAACAAUUGACGCACACGAGCGUUUGAACGCAGGCCACACAGAGCUGAAGGCAGAGAUGGGAAUCGUUUUGUGCGCGCAGCAUUUCGAUAAGGGCUCGUAUCGCGAUCGUCGAUCGGCCAUGGUCAAUCCACUGCUGGAUAAAGGGUCACCAUCUCUCCGCUCUGUGAUGUAAUAAUCCGCCUGCACACGUGGUUAGAUCAUCAGUGCCCAUCUCACUGGUGGAUGUCCUUUGAAUUCGGUUCCAUUACCUGGCCGUGUCCGUCACUAUUCAUGGCCAUUGGGCAACGUUUCUUAGAUCAAUAUUGACCUGUUUAUAUAUAUAUCGUUUAAAUAACACAGUCUGAAAUAUACACGCAUGUGUGUUUUUAGAAAGCAGCGUGCCAAUGGGCAUGUGGGUAAAUGCAUGCAGUACACACUGCAGCAACAGUAGCAUGGAUUUUGUUUUUUAUUAAUUAACACAAAAUUUUAAUACCGAAAUCAUACGUACAUACAUACAAGCAGAGAUACAGAAAACGCGUAACGAAUUCGCAAACUCAACGGUGACGUUUAAGUAUCGGGAGUUUUUUGUAGAUAAAUAUAUAUUGUAUAUAGCCAUCAAGAAAAUAAAAACGGUGCGAUCGAUCGGAUUAUAAUUAUUCGACGACAGUGGCUCGAAUGGCCGAUCAAACAAUGAUGGCCACAGCACUUUGCUGCCCAAUGUUUUGCUGCUGCUGCUGCUGUGGUAACAUCAUCAUCAGCAGCAGCCGUUUAUGGCUUUGGACAAGUGGAGGAAGAAAACAAUUUGAGAUGUGAGACGCGUAUUGCUGGAUGUUCUUUUUUUUAAACACUCUUGCGGUAAAAGUGCGGCGCGGCCCUCGCGUGACUUGCGUCAUGCGAUGGAGCCAGCGAUAAGAAAGAAGACACAAAUAGGUGAGACAUUUCGCCAGAGUAUUUAAAUGCAAAGGCCACCAACGCUCCCCGAAGAGCAUCAGCUUUGGGUGAUACCGCUUUUUUUUCCAGCCCGCCAAGUCAAGAUUUCCGAUUGAGUAAGAGGAAGAUGUCUCUGCGGGGCGCGUGCGUGUGUCUCUGUGCCCUGGGGGCUCUGCUCGUGGCCCUGGGAGUCGACGAGGCCAAGGGAGGAGUCACCACAUUUUUCCCCCCGCCAGGCUCUCGCGACGACGGCGGCACGCGACAAUCUCAGAAGAAAUCCCUCUAUUAUGGAGGGGACAUCCAGUCCAUGGAAGAGCCCGUUUUCCUGCACAAAAAGGGGGCAGCAGUGGAUCGAGCACGGGCUCCAGCGGGAAGAAGCGAGGCGGAGAACGGCGAAAUCGAGGGAGGCGUUGCCGCCCUUCUCCAGAAGAGGGCGCGCGAGGGUCAAAACGAGGGCGUUCACCGUGAGGCUUGCCAGCCGGGCGAGCCUUGAAACUUGAUUAAUGAUCCACGGACCAUCAGUGGACGCAGAAGCCAGCCUUAGUGAUGCGUUUUGUUUAUUUGCUUUCAUUUACAAUGCACGCAUAUACACGUUGCUAAGCCGGAGUGAUCUACUUUGCACACAUUCUAUAUAAUGCUUUGCCUUCAUUAUCAGUGCUCUGUGAAUACAUACAACAGGUUAGACUUCAGCGGGAUGGAUGGGUAGGUCCAGAGGUCAGGGUCUCGAGCCAUGGUGACUUUUAUUUAGACCACACGUCCAGGGUGCAGUGCCAAUGAGUCAACCCUGCCAGUGCAUGGGGCUAGACAGCCAACCCGCAACCACACGAGCCUAACAUUCGUGAUCGGGAUAAACCCAUUUGGGGACAAGUUCUGUUAAGCGAGAACCUAUUAAAUAAAAUCAUCCACGAGCACAUUUCGGUAUUUGCAACCAUCCGUACGGCACGGAAGGCUAUCUAUAUCUCGCGAUUGCGCGUAGUCAUGGCCUUCAGAACACAGCCUGCGCCUCAAGUGCGCUGCGGAAGUGAAUCGAUCGCUGGCGACAAAUCGCGGAAGGCCGGGAGCAACUCGAAGUUCGGUCGGAGGUGCUGGCCACACCGCCGCGUGUUCAUUUUUAGGCGACGUGAACCUAGGGAUGGAGGCCAGCGGGACCAGUUCGAUACAAAAACGCCACAACAAAAUGUAGAUCUAUGCAGCGUCCAAAUGCGAUCCCAUCUCGAGACGCAGUCGCGAAACUGGGUUUGUUUGGACAGAGGCAGUCGCAAUGGAAAAUAAAAAAAGGUCUCGAGUCUGGCCCCCUUGUAUAGGGGCCGGGGGUGCUACAGCACGGAUGGCAGGGGGAAGGCAGUAUAGGAGAAUCAGCGACCUCCCACAGAGAUAAGGUUGACCGGGGAGCUUCGGCAGGAAGUUUUUGUUGGUGAAGCAGCGAGUGCAUGGAGGGCAGUAGAGUGAGUCUGAGAAGUGAAGGAGGUGGGCAGGAAUGAGUCCACGGAGCAUGAUGGUUGUGAGUGGCAGCAUGCGUCCCUGCCAGGAAUCGUCCUGGGGUCACGAGAAUUGUAGUAAAGUGUACUGCUCACAUAUCUACCGCAGGCAUACAGUUAUUUUAAACACUCACAUGAACACAAAUCAGUUACCAGGACCUAUACACGCAGUAUUUAUCUACUAUAAUGGCAAGAAUGGUGACAGAAUGGCAGCGAAAGCAGAAAGCGCUCGAGAGGACAUGACCGCUGUAGAAAUGGGUGUCGCUGAGAUCAGCUGUUGUGCAGGAGCCAGAAGAAUUUCUGUCCGUGUACUAACCGACACAGACGAGAGAUAGAUUAAUAAAACUAACAUUGAGCAUGUUUUAACUAUUAAAUCAUAGUAAUUAAAGGUCUAAUGAUAUUUAUUUUACUAUCGACAGCAAUGCAUUCUGAGUUUUAUUCUAAGCCAGCUUGGAUGAAGGGAACACUCGAGUCGACCUUUAACACAACGUCCAACUUGGUGUUCAUUAGCCGAUAAAUGGCAAGAGCACAACAAAUGGAUAAAAAACAUCACACGCAAACACUGCUGAUUGUCUCCGCAAACUACACAAUGAAUAAAAACAGAUGGAAAAAACA